GCAGUCAUGGCCGAGUGGUUAAGGCGAAAUCCAUUGGUGCCUCCCCGCACAGGUUCGAAUCCUGUCGACUGCA
rnacentral:tRNA from 1 species